GCUUUAAGGACCAACAACACAUCUCGGUACGACAAGUGGAGACUCGACCGUACAGACCCGUCCGGUCUCGCACACGACGCCGUUAACGGCAAACGGAGAAACGCCGCCGCCGCCGACCCGCGGGAGGUACUUUCUCCAUCACUGCCUAAAGUGGACCUGAUGUGAACUAGAAUGAAGUUGGCUGGACCUGCAGUGAAGUGGACCUGAAGCUAACUGGACCUCAAGUAGUCUGUGGAAGCUUCAAGGACCAACAACACAUCUCGGUACGACAAGUCGAGACUCGACCGUACAGACCCGUCCGGUCUCGCACACGACGCCGUUAACGGCAAACGGAGAAACGCCGCUGGGAGGCACUUUCUCCAACACUGCCUACAGUGGACCUGAUGUGAACUAGAAUGAAGUUGGCUGGACAUAAAGUUUACUGGACCUCAAGUAGUCUGUGUUGCGGAGGAGCGCGCCGAUACGAGUCGGAGACGGCUCGUACAGUCGGCGCACGAGAGCGGUCCGGACGAAGACAUUCGGGAACCGAGGACGAAGACGCUCGUCGACUGCGGACGAAGACACCGGUCGACGCGCGAGGAAGAUGCUCCGGAACACGGGAAGAACGCCACACUCCCGAGUGCGGGAAGACACUCGUCAACGCAGAAGGAGACACGCAUCAAUGUCGGGCCGGCGUGAUUGUUUUAAAGACGAUUUAACGUGUAAAAUGAAUGUACGUGUU